UGGGCUCUAUGUAGCUACAGUGCUUCGGCCCAGCACACAAAGGCUUUUCCCCCACCUCUGUACAGUGCAGAGGAGGCCAUGGUGCUGUGCACGCGCGCUCGGCCGUCCAUGCGCCGAUGCCCCUCGUGUCGAUCAUCCGCUUGUCCUGGAGAUGCAUAAGAGCCCUCCCGACCCCGUUGGCAAACCCUAGUCGCUUCAUACCUCCCCAUCGUCUCUCUCUCUCGAUCUAAACUCGUGCCCGAGCACAUCGUCGACGCAACACCAUGGAGCACGCGGCCACCGGCCUCCCCUCGUCGCAUGAAGAUGUCCGGGAGCUCCGUCGUGGUCGGCUCCAUCACCACGCCGAAGGGCUCGAGCUAGGAGGCCUCGGGCGCUCGCCAUCGCGCAUCUUCCCCGCGUCCGGUCGCCGCUUCCCCGUCUCGGAUCUCCUCCCUCAGCGCCCCCCCCCCCCCCCCCCCCCCCCCCCCCCCCCCCCCCCCCCCCCCCGACCUCCCGAGCACGUCAUCGAGAACCGGGGUGAGAUCCUCCCUCUGGUCCCCUUUUUCCCCCUUCGAUUUCGUCGUCGUAGACCGCCGCACCACCGCGCCCCAGCUCCUGGUCGUCGCACCCCGUGGCCGUGCUCCCCUCGGCCCCUGGCCGCGUUCGGGCCGCGCCCUUGCUGCGCCCAAGCGCGCUCACAGCUCCGCGACCGCGCCCCCGCUACGCUUGAGCUGUGCCCAGCCGCCUCGCCCUCCUGCCCGUCGUUGCCCGCCUUGCUUCUGCUGCUGCCUUCCCCUGCCGUUCUACUUCUGCUACUGCAUACCGCUAGCGCCGCUGCCGCUGCUAUGCUAUGCUGUCGUUGCUGCUUGUUGUACCUGCGGCUGUGCCGUUGCCUAUUCCUGCUGCUAUCGCUGCUUUGCUGCUGGUGCAUGCUACUGCCGGCUGCUGCAGCUAGUGGCCAUGGCCAAGGCCAUGGCCAAGGCCAUGGCCGAGUGUUUGUUGUGGUGUGUGGGCGUGUGUAUCCUGUGUGUGUGGCCGGCCCAUUCCAAAUUGUUUACUGCUAAUUAGAUUAGGUAUCUCUACUGUUAAAGGGAGAUCGAACUUCGUGAUGGUUGGACCUCCCCUCGUGGUUCGACCACCUGGAUUCCCCAGCCUCGCUGGAAAAAAAUCGCAGGAAAUAGAACCCCAGGUUCCGAGAUAACCCACACGUUCUCCACCUUCUCCCCGACCUGUCCAUCUCAUCUCCAGAUCUCUUUGGCACGAACCCAGACGACCCGGCGUUCUCCUCUCCUCGCAACCGCGUGGCGCCCUCCCUCUCUAGGUUGGCCAUAGCCCGAGCCCUCGGGCGACGACCACCCGAGCCACUCUACCGUCAUGGAUUGAAGGAGGCAGCGGCGGGGGGCGGUGCGGAUUCCAUCUUACCCACCACCGUCACGUAUGGAAGGAGGCCAUGGCAACCAGCUGUGCGAAGCCAAUCCUCCGCCUGGCAGUUAUGUGCGGCUCCCUCCGCCGGAGCUUCUCUGCACAUGUACGUUGUCUCGUCGGUCUCUUCAUCCCUUCACCGGCGCUGCUGACCCGUGGUUGACCAGCAGCGGAGGCGUGUGUCAAGAGUCUCCAGCCGCUGCAUGCUACAUCAUCAGGGCCAGAUAGGAAGAUCUCCUGAGUACACGGUCAAGAGGAAGCUUGGCAAAGGGGGGCUUGACCAUGUUUUCGUCAGCCGGCAUUUAGCUGGUGCAACAGGAUGGUCCACAUGUGCGAGUGCUCAACAGAUGGGUGCUAUUUUUACAUGUUCCCUGCUUUCUUACUAUACCCUUUGCCAAAAAAAAACUUUGGCGUCAGGUUUUGCACUCACUGAUGUGAAGCCAGAGGAAAGCUAAUUGCACAUUUGUUCACGUUACUGUUUCUGUUUGUGGGUUGCAAGGACUUUGAGAUUACCACAUGUCCCCUGUUUAAUUAUCUAUAUUAAGGCGUGGCCUUCAUGUGUAGCCAUUUUUUCUAAUAAGCAACAAGAACCUACAAUUCAUUGGA